UUUCCGUAGGUGAACCUGCGGAAGGAUCAUUAUCGCAAAGUUGACGCCCGAGUACCGCGACCUGUUUUUUUCCUUCUUGGCGGAGGAAGAAAUGCGCGCGAGGUGUGCGAGGGGGUUCGGAAGUUUCGUUUCGUUCUUCUUGCCUUUUGUGCACAGUACUCACCGUAAUUUACGUUCAUACCUGAAUGCCUGAUACCUCCCUCACUCGUUCCGUCUCACACACGAGCGGAAAAUGGAGAACUAUUCAACGAUAUAACUUUUAACAAUGGAUCUCUUGGCUCUC
rnacentral:misc_RNA from 1 species